CCUGGUUCUCGUUUCGUCUUCCUCGAGCUCAGCUGCAGUGAUACUAGACCGCGCUGCUACACCCGCACGAUCUCCUACCCGCCGCCGUUUCGUGCCCCAUGAAAGGAUUUAGUUGAGAUUGGUCCGUAGAAGAAGGGGCGCAAGGCUGCAGAUGCCAAGGGCGUGAGAGCCGCCGUCGCCGCCGGUGGCAAGGAGGAGCACACGAUGGGAAUGGCACACCCACGCCGGCCGAGCUUCACCCCAUCCAGCCCACCCCUUCUUCGUCGUGCACGGCGGAACGAGGCCACUUCAUUGAUGGUCUGCAACCCCGGCGAGGCGAGAGCCAGCGGUUGCGACAUCAUCAUCCUGCACCCUCCUCCCUCAUGCUGGUCUACGGCGAAGGGGUGCCAUGGCAGCCGACGAGGAUGUAUUACCGAGGUACUUGGCCCGCUAUCCUCAUCCCGUCCGCCUUGGAGAACGGCACCAUCUCCUUCUCCUCGCUUCUAGCUGCACCUCUCCAUAUGAGUUUCAUUGGUCUUUCUUAUGGUUAUGUAUUUCAAAGGCUUCCAUGUUGUGUUUCCAGUGAGGUCAAAGAAUGCUCUUGGGCAGAGAAGCUAAUAUCCAAUAAAGUUGUUCUACACUUCGACCAUACCCACCAUUCUCCACUCUGCACUGAUUACAAACCUGUAUUUCAUUUCCCAGCUUCUAUACAGGAAGUACAGUGGAAAUUUUAUGGUUAACCUUCUCGGCAUAUGGAAAUAAUAGUACUAUUCUGGUUAUUCUGUUACUACUGGUGGUCUUGUUUACGAUGUGACUGAUUACUUGGCAUUGCUAGCUUUCCAUUCUGUCGUCUAGGUUUUCGUUACCCUAGAAAAUAUUGUUAUACUUACUAUGUUAUUUUAACUGCAUUUUAGCUGAUAUUCUGGCGAAUCCAUUCAAUUAAGUAUUGAUUUUAUAAACCUGAAUGUUUAUAGGUUCUUCACCAGCUACAGAUUAUUGCAUUGAGUAUAUUCACUAAUUGGCAACAGAUAGAGAAAAGCAUCUGCACGUGGCAGGGAGUCGACUUGUUGCAGAUAACCACCUGGAGUUCAUCACUAAAAAUGUAUCGCCUCUACCUGGAGUUCAUCAUUCAAAACCAGGUUGCCUAAAAUUUAGUACAACCUCAUGCCCAAGUUUAAUAUGCACAUAUGUUUUUAUACUUUGCUCUAAUAUGUUAUACCCUUUCAAAGAAUUAUUAUUAUUCCUGCUUUGCCUGCUAAACAAGUAUGAUGAUGGCAUAAUGCUUUACUUGGCUUGAUGAUUUACUUUUUGCCGACUGUUUUGUCCGCACUGACUUCUGUAUACGGCUCAUACAUUACAUGCUAAUCUACACAACAACUUUCUUUAGAGAGUUUUUAAUGAAUGAUGGAAGAGGUACCAAAUGAAUUCUAAAGCAUUGCUUAAAGGAUCCAUAUAGUUAUGCUUUGGGUUAGUUUUUUUUAUUAGGAUCUCUCUAGGAACUUUUCCCUCUGUAUUGUGUUGUUGCCGCUACAUGCCAGCAAGACGGUCAGUGUCGAUGAUGAAGAGCGCUUGUUUUGUCUGAUUAUGGAACGAUUUGGACACAUAUAGAGUAUUACCUCCUUUAGCUUGCAAGGUAUGUUACCAUCGCAUGCCCCAUCCGCUUAGCUAACUUUUUGUGUUGAACUAGGAAUUUGGAACAGAUAGCCAAGAAGGACAUGAACCUCUUACAGGACCUCUGAUUGGUGGAUUCUGUUGUUGUCACUGUCUUUCAUCAUUCAGAGAAAAGUCCAUCCAUUUCUACCGUUGUUUGCAUGGAAAUGUUAAUAUAUAACAUGGAAAUAUGUGACGUGGAACAAUUUGUCAGUCCUCAGAAUGCCAGAUUGGAAUCCAUUAACUAUGUAGGCUGCAGCAGUUUUUCAAGCUUCGAUUAUUAGGAGAAGAGUGCGAUAGGUGUCAAUCAUACACAAUACUGGUCUAGCCUCAUUAAUGAUACUUGGGAAAAUACUAUUUCAUGCAUUUAUCAGUACAAAGCUCGGAUAAUAUUGUCUAAUAUCCUACUCCCUCUGUUCAGAUAAUUGGCAAUCAAAGUAACAGUAUUGUUGUAUUUACUCCCUUGCUAACACAUAAGAGCCAUAUUAUAAUUGUAUGCCAUGUGGUACUUUGAUUGCCUGCGCCCAAAAGCAAGGCCAGUGCCCAAUUAUGGCUCGACGUGUGGACCAAUGAAUAUCACAGAAGCAAGGCUAGCGCCUGCCCAGCCUUUGUGCGCCACCUGAGCCUCUCAAGAUUAACCUUACUCUAAGAACACUUAUGUAAGCACUUCAUUUGAUAUACCAAAAUGCACACUUAUUGUUAGCCAGAUCAUUUUAGCAUCUAUAAAUUUAAUCAAUAUUAACUCCCAAAAUUUUAGUGUGGUGCUUGUAUGUUCAUAGAGAGCCAUCGACAUAUGGUUUAGUGUCAGUAUUAAAUACGACAUUACUAUUCGUAGAUGAAAAAAUUAUGCGUGGUUUCCGGUUUAUAAUGAUCUUUAUUGUUAUAUUCAUUAGCUGCUAGCAUUUUGGUAUAUUUGCUAUACUAGCAUCUACUUACGGGAAAGACAUUGUCUUAAUGUUUUGAGAAAGCCAUAUCUUACUUAUAGCAUUAUGGCUGGCUGGUUGCUUUUUAAUACCUAUUUUUACCUGCUAAUUAUCAAAUUGUUGAUAAAGAAAUCUAUCUUUAUCUCUUCAUGCUACAAAAACAAAAGAAAUAUGGCUUUUCCUUAUCUGAGUAUGGAUUAAGUCGGAAUCUUGUUUUUCUCUACAUAGACUUAUUUGUAGCAGCAAUGUGUUAUUUCUAUACAUAAUGAUUGUUGCCUUUGGACACAAUCACACAAGUGACUCUCCUCUUUUUAUCUCGUUUUUUUUGUAUUCAGAUGUAUUAAAAAAUUUACUCCCAUUUCGAUGUUCUUUGUUAAAUAUUUGAUAGAAAAGAGUUCCAGUAGUCAACUGGAUGUACAUGCAUAUUUUUUGAUUGCUGAAGAACAUGCAUCUAUCUUUACAUAGAUUUCAUUACUUGUCAGAAGAUCCCUCUGAUCAUGUUGUUGAUUUCUUUUGUAGGUAUCAGUCUCAUUUUCAUACAACGAAGAUAAUCUGCAAGCCAGCUUAAUUCAGAGUUCAGGCUGAUCCUGAUUUCUUUUUCAUAUGUGCAUCUUUGGUCUAUGUAAACUUGUAAACCAUGAGUGGUAGCUUAGUUUAGGUUUGGUCCACCUUUCUAUAGGUUUUUUUCAUGUAAGAUUGUUGGUUUAUGUAAACAAUUAGGUCGCCAUUUGGUAUUUUAUUGGAUGCAAACCUGAAUGCAA